rnacentral:rRNA from 1 species
AGUGAACGCUGGCGGUAGGCCUAACACAUGCAAGUCGAACGGCAGCACAGUAAGAGCUUGCUCUUACGGGUGGCGAGUGGCGGACGGGUGAGGAAUACAUCGGAAUCUACUUUUUCGUGGGGGAUAACGUAGGGAAACUUACGUUAAUACCGCAUACGACCUACGGGUGAAAGCAGGGGAUCUUCGGACCUUGCGCGAUUGAAUGAGCCGAUGUCGGAUUAGCUAGUUGGCGGGGUAAAGGCCCACCAAGGCGACGAUCCGUAGCUGGUCUGAGAGGAUGAUCAGCAACACUGGAACUGAGACACGGUCCCGCCUCCUACGGGAGGCAGCAGUGGGGAAUAUUGGACAAUGGGCGCAAGCCUGAACCAGCCAUACCGCGUGGGUGAAGAAGGCCUUCGGGUUGUAAAGCCCUUUUGUUGGGAAAGAAAAGCAGCAGGUUAAUACCCCGCUGUUCUGACGGUACCCAAAGAAUAAGCACCGGCUAACUUCGU